CAUGGACCCGCGCCGUAUUAGCUAGUUGGUAAGGUAACGGCUUACCAAGGCGACGAUACGUAGCCGACCUGAGAGGGUGAUCGGCCACACUGGAACUGAGACACGGUCCAGACUCCUACGGGAGGCAGCAGUAGGGAAUCUUCCGCAAUGGGCGAAAGCCUGACGGAGCAACGCCGCGUGAGUGAUGAAGGGUUUCGGCUCGUAAAACUCUGUUAUUAGGGAAGAACAAAUGUGUAAGUAACUGUGCACAUCUUGACGGUACCUAAUCAGAAAGCCACGGCUAACUACGUGCCAGCAGCCGCGGUAAUACGUAGGUGGCAAGCGUUAUCCGGAAUUAUUGGGCGUAAAGCGCGCGUAGGCGGUUUCUUAAGUCUGAUGUGAAAGCCCACGGCUCAACCGUGGAGGGUCAUUGGAAACUGGGAAACUUGAGUGCAGAAGAGGAAAGUGGAAUUCCAUGUGUAGCGGUGAAAUGCGCAGAGAUAUGGAGGAACACCAGUGGCGAAGGCGACUUUCUGGUCUGUAACUGACGCUGAUGUGCGAAAGCGUGGGGAUCAAACAGGAUUAGAUACCCUGGUAGUCCACGCC
rnacentral:rRNA from 1 species